ACGAUUCCAAAAAUGAUACAAACAUAAUAGUAAAACAAGUCGCUACUAGCACUUGACCUUAUUACAUUUUAAGCAAAGAAAAUAAUCCUAAUCUAUUUUGUCCUAGAAGAACCUUCCCUUGAUUCGAAUUUUCGGACUCCGUCAUAUAGAUCCCCUUGCUCGCGUAGUCCAAGCAGCAAGUACGCUCUGGCCAGGUGUCCUCCCUCAACAUUCUGGCAGUUUUCGAUCCUCUUUAUGUCUUUGCCUUGUAGGUCCAUGAUUCCUUGCUCCAGGUAUUCUAAUUUCCUAUUGGAGGUGACCUAUUUCUUUCCAUUCUUAAAUCAACCUUGCGUUCUUCUCAUUUAUUUUCCGGUGCUCAUUUUUAGAGUCGUGAACCCUUUUGCAUAACCUGUUUUACUUGACUAGGGUUUCAGCUUCCUCGUCUAUAGUUCUGUUUCCUCGAUCGGUCCCUAGUGUCACUGUUCCUUUCAGGUUGUCCCCUAGCCAGGCCAGGUAGAGAGGCUCGCACCCUGCAUGAUAUCUGUCUGGCUCAAUGGUAUUCUUCUCCAUAAUGAUCUUGCAGUGCUACAUGUGAUGUGCUU
rnacentral:lncRNA from 1 species